GCGUUUAUGACGACUCUUGCACCAGGAGAGAGGAGAUCCUCAAGCCAUUGCAGCUAUCUUUUCUGCCUCAAUCUGAUUUAGCUCUGCGCUUUUCCACCCAUGCCCGGUCUCUUGCCACAGCAGCCAUCUUUCUUCCUGUCCGUUCAGCCUCCUUCCUCUUCAUAGCAGCAGAAUAUUGUGCUUUACGCUUCCUCUUCUUAGCCUGCCCAAACAACAUGAAUGAAUGAACGUAAGCAAUAAUUAUAAAUAUAGAAUUCAGGUCUGGGUUAUUAACUAGACAUAUGGACAGAUCAUAAGUGAACAGAAUAACAACAGAAGUUUGGUAUACAACUACAGUACAUUAUAACAAGACAAGUUUUUGAAUCUAUCAAGCAUCAAGGUAAGCUUUCAUGAUCAUAGAAAUGAAGGUGUUUGUAUUAGCGCAAUGCUUUAAUCAGUAGGGUCUUUCCCAUCUAUGAUCAAGGUCGAUUGUGUCAGCUCUGUUGUGGCGUUCAUGUAUAUCGAGGCUUAUUUUUUAAGCAUGCCUAGGGUUUUGUUCCUGUUUGUGUUGAUCUGAACAUGUGCUCUGUUCAUGUAGAAGAGCUCAUAUGAAUCUGUCUUAGGGAAAUAAUUGAGUACAUGUGAUCAGUAUGUUAGCCAAAACUGAACAUUUGAUCUCUAUUGAACUGAAAGGAUUGUAUAUUUGAUCUCUGUUUAACUGAAAAGAUUGAACCCUUACUUUUGAUCUCUGUUUAAGUUUAAAAAUUCAGCUGUUCCACAAACCUUCUAUAGUUCAGAAACUGAAUCUUUAGAUGUACUCUGUUUUAGUGCAGAAAAUGAAUUUUAGUGCACAAACUGAAUUAGUACAGAAACUGAAAAGACUAAACCUUUACUUUUGAUCUCAUUUAAGUUUAAAAAUUCAGAUGUUCCACAAACCUUCGAUAGUUCAGAUACCGGACCUUUACAUAUACUCUGUUUUAGUGCAGAAAAUGAAUUCUAGUGCAGAAACUGAAUUAGAACAGGAACUGAAAAGACUGAACAUUUACUGUUGAUCUAUGUGUAAGUUUAGAAGUUCAGCUAUUCCACAAAUAUUCUUUAGUUUAGAUAGUGAAUAUUUAGAUACACUCUGUUUUAGCGUAGAAAAUGAAUUUUAGCGCACAAACUGAAUUAGCGCAGAAACCAUUGCAACAACUGAUUUUUGGUUUCUUUGCUUUCUUUAAGUGCAGGAAUUUAUUUAUUUUCUUUCCGGAGCCCUGUGACCAGAAGAAUUGGGGAUCUCGAGAGGGAAUUUUGCAGUUGUGGCCAUUUUAAAAAUAGACCUCUGUGAAAUCUAUGUAUUCCUGAUACUAUUAUAUCAUGCUGCAUUUCCUGUGAUAUAUCAAAUAUCUAUCAUUUGUCCUAAACAAGAGGCCUUACAUUUAUACUGAGCAUUACUAAUUUGGUCAGUAUAUAAUAUUGCAAUGCUUAUAACCCUUUGGUCAGUGGCCCAUCUGAAUUGAGAUGCAUCAUAGUUAUCUUAAUACUAUUUGUUCUGUUUCUUACUCAUUGAUCCAUCCCACACAACAAGUAUUCUUCCUGAGAAGUAUGCUCAGAUAGUUGAAUAUAUUGUUUUGUACUUAAUUGUUGAAAGAUGGAUUUGUAUUACUAAUGCUGAGAUGGGCAUUACAAUUUUCUUUCAAGGGAACAGACCAAACCAAACUGCGACCUUAUUUGUCAAUAUUUGAAAUUUAUAUUAUGUCUCUUAUGUGAUCUCAGAGAACUUAAUUUUUGUGUGGGGACCUCAAGCUACCUUUAGUGACUUACAAGCUAUAUCAACCAACAAGAGUUUUCCCUGCUUUUGGAGCCUGCUAAGCUAUCAACAAACAAAGAGGUACUAUGCUGAGACUGAAGAGGAUGCUAGCCAGCGGCCCACCUCUCUUGCCGUCACCGCUGAGCCGCCAUGUCUCCUUCAGAGGCUUAUUGUAUUGCUACAUGUUUAUGCUUCUUAUCCACUCACCCAUUGUAGUGUAGGUCUGUUGCGGCAAUUGAAUGCUUCAAAGGAUUUUAAUGGAGUUCAUUGUAGCUGAGUCGCAAAUCUCCAGCUUGCUUUCAUGUCUUUUCUCACUAGAGACAUCACCUGCCGGCGACGGCGAUGACCGCUACCCUGCUCCUCUCCCGGCAAAGGCAUGGCUACCUCUCCUGUGAAGUUAAGGCCAUCUUUGCCUCUUCCUUCAGUUUUUCCUCUGUUUUUUGUUACACGACUUUGUGGUGCUUAGUGUAUAUAUCAUUCCCCCCUGUCCAUUAAUUGAACAACUCUGCUACAUGUGAUUGCAUUAGCAAACUCCAUUUUUGUGUAUGUAGAAAAACAAAGGAAACUCCAUUUUUGUGUAUGUGGAAAAAACAAAGGAAACUGCAUUUUUGUGUAAUUACAAACAAAUGAAACUCCAUUUUUUUGUAAUUACAAACAAGAGACUUUUAGACGGCGAAGACUGCUGCCCUGAUCCUAAGAGCCUACUGACAUUUCACCAAAUCUUGUUAUAAUUUUUUUUAUCAGCAGCAGAUACUUUUAAAUUUGUCUUUACAAUUCCAAGUACAUGAUCAUACUGAUCCUUCUUUUUUUGAUGUAGCAGAACAAACGUUCGUAAUUUAUACACCUAGGCUCAGCUUCUCUAUAUUGAUACGAAGGCCUGGAGCAUGUUUCUUUUGUUUUCAACUCGAGAGGGCCAGAACCUGGCGGCGCAAUAGCAGCUCAACUACUAUUGUUAUUAAUCAGGAUAAAUGCUUCUGCUUUUCAUCGGCCGGUAAACAUGCUAAGUUUGCCUGGCUGGCACACAUGCCUAGGCACAACAAUCUGCCCCAGCACCGCACGGCAAGGCGCGCUGCAGGUCAUUUAUAUAGCAUCUCCUCAUUUGUAUAUUAUUCACAUAUAGCAUCUCAUUUCUUGGUUGAUUGCUUACAUGUAUUCAACUUCUGGCUCUUUCGCUCCCAAGCUGGCCUCCCUCUCCUUGGUGCUCAGCGGCAGAAGCACGAGGCGCUGCACCUUUGACCCCGUAGUGCUCGGCUCCAAUUCAUCAGGGAGGCCACCGGCAAGCAUGAAGCUGCCCUUGGUGCUUCCUCCUCAUCAAGGAGGAGGAGGUCGGGUAGCGCCGUCCUCAAGGACAGGCACAACCGCGACACCGCAGAGACGGGCGAGGAUGUGGUGCUGCUCCUUCUUGUGGUGUAUGCAUUGGCGUUGCUUGCGGUAGUGAUGCAUAUCUUCGUGGGCAAUGCUAUUUGAAGACCAUUCAAGUGAUUUAAGGGAGAAGAUGUCCAGAAUGUAAGGAGGUUGAAGAUGACGACCAAAAGGUUGACAUAUUAAGCGGCUGCCAAGAAGCCAAUAAUUUGCCCCCUGCCAUUAGUAAUACCCGCUCUUCUUUAUGAAAUCUUUCCUAACUAUCGUUGCAGAUUGUGAGAUCCCUAUUUAAAUACAUCACUCAGCGUCUGUCCGGUACAGAGUUGCAUGGCAGGCAUAUGUGUUCUCAGCCACCUUAUCAAUUGUAGGCUUAGAAUGAUUUGCUUCGUCCAAGUGUUGUUCGUCAACAAUUUUUUUGUUUGUCCAUGUCAAUUCUGAUUUUAGAGGAUACCUAUGUUUUGGUAGGAAGUGUAUUGUUCUUAUGUUUUUUCCUGGUAUGUACUGACUGAUGCAGUAAUUGAUGUUUUAGAUUAUGAA